rnacentral:rRNA from 1 species
GAAAGUAAUAAAGGGCGUAUGGGGGAUGCCUAGGCUCUUGGAGGCGAAGAAAGACGUGGUAAGCUGCGAUAAGCCUCGGGGAUUUGCAAACGAGAAUUGAUCCGAGGAUUUCUGAAUGGGACAACCCGGCAGGCAGAAGGCCUGUCACACGAAAGUGGGCCAACCCUCUGAACUGAAACAUCUUAGUAGGAGGAGGAAAAGAAAGAAACAUCGAUUUCCUAAGUAGCGGCGAGCGAACGGGAAACAGCCUAAACCACAAUUGUUACGGCAACUGUGGGGUUGUAGGACUGCAAUAUUCAAAUGACUGUGAACUGGAAUGUUCUGGAAAGUUCAUCCAAAGAGAGUGAAAGACUCGUACAGGCAAGCACGUCAAGCGAUAGCAGUAUCCUGAGUAGGGCGGGACACGAGGAAUCCUGUCUGAAUCCGCCGGGACCACCCGGUAAGGCUAAAUACUCCCAAGAGACCGAUAGUGAACCAGUACCGUGAGGGAAAGGUGAAAAGAACCCCGAACAGGGGAGUGAAAUAGAACCUGAAACCAUACGCUUACAACCUGUCGGAGCGGCUUCGUGCCGUGACGGCGUGCCUAUUGAAUAAUGAGCCUACGAGUUACUAAUCACUGGCAAGGUUAAGUGCACGGAUGCACGGAGCCGAAGCGAAAGCGAGUCUGAAUAGGGCGUUUAGUCAGUGGUUGUAGACGCGAAACCUUGCGAUCUACCCUUGAGCAGGUUGAAGGUUGGGUAAAACCAACUGGAGGACCGAACGAAUAAGCGUUGAAAAGCUUCUCGAUGACUUGAGGGUAGGGGUGAAAGGCUAAUCAAGCUGGGAAAUAGCUCGUACUCCCCGAAAUGCCUUUAGGGGCAGCGUUGUAAUUAAGAGUCUACUGGAGGUAGAGCUACUGAUUGGAUGCGGGGGCUUCACCGCCUACCAAAUCCUGACAAACUCCGAAUGCCAGUAGUAUGAUUUACAGCAGUGAGCGACCGGGUGCUAAUGUCCGGUUACGAGAGUGGAACAACACAGACCAGCAACUAAGGUCCCCAAGAGUAUACUAAGUUGAUCUAACGAUGUUUUGCUGCAGAGACAGCUAGGAUGUUAGCUUGGAAGCAGCUAUUCAUUCAAAGAGUGCGUAACAGCUCACUAGUCGAGCGGCAAAGCGUGGAUAAUAAACGGGCAUCAAGUAUACCACCGAAGUUCUGGGCACGAAAGUGCGGUAGGGGAGCAUUCCAUUCCGCGUUGAAGCCGAACCGUGAGGUUUGGUGGAGUGUAUGGAAAAGCAAAUGUAGGCAUGAGUAACGAUAAUGCGGGAGAGUAACCCGCACACCGCAAGACCAAGGUUUCCUGAUCAACGCUAAUCGGAUCAGGGUUAGUCGGGUCCUAAGGGUAAGCCGAACGGUGAUCUCGAUGGAUAAUCGGUUAAUAUUCCGAUACUGACAUAUACCUCGAUGGAGAGACGAAGGAACGUAAGUGCCGCCACCUGACGGAAUAGGUGGUUAAAGGGCUUAGGUAUAGGGACAGAUUAAGAGUUAGUCCUUGCUGAAACCUGACAGUACAGAGAGCCUACGGGCAAUUUGAUAGUGCACCCAAGUCGACUUCCGAGAAAAUCUUCUAAGUUAUAGUAUAUGUCACCCGUACCGUAAACCGACACAGGUGGUCGAGGAGAGUAUCCUAAGGUGCUCGAGUGAAUCACGGUUAAGGAACUAGGCAAAUUAACCCCGUAACUUCGGGAAAAGGGGUCCCAUCGCGAGGUGGGCGCAGCGAAGAGGUCCAGGCGACUGUUUAUCAAAAACACAGGGCUCUGCAAAUUCGAAAGAAGACGUAUAGGGCCUGACACCUGCCCGGUGCUGGAAGGUUAAGAGGGGAUGUCAUCGCAAGAGAAGCAUUGAAUCGAAGCCCCAGUAAACGGCGGCCGUAACUAUAACGGUCCUAAGGUAGCGAAAUUCCUUGUCGGGU